ACGGAACGGCUUCUCUCUCCCCCACUCCUCCCCCACGUAUCUAGUUGGGCCGACGAGGAAGAAGACGGUCAAGCCUUGUGAUCGCCUUAUUCGGUCGCUCUCUAGAGUCGCGAGCGUUUUUACAGCUCCCGGCUCUGACGAGCGAUGGCAGAUUCCGGUAAACGGGAGGGGAGCUCACCGAUCGGGAGCAAUGCCGCAUCUCAGGGGACGACGCCGUCGACGGCGACGGCGACGAAACCGCGGAGCCGUACUCGUCGAGCCGGAGCGAGGCGGCGGGAGGGGAGUCCUCCGGCGAAUCGCGCGCGUCUUCCGGCGUGAGUGAGAGAGUCUCACAUACGAUGAUGGAAUAGCGCUUCUAUGUCCGUCCGCCUCUCGUGAAUUCGGCAAUUUCCAUUAGUUAUCUGCAGUGUUAAUACUCAUGUUUCUAUGAGCCCUGGUGUUACUCCCGGCGCGCGAUUUCCUUGUUACGGUUAGCCGGAUUUCGAUGUCCUGAUCAUUCACCGUGUCAUUGAGUCUUCUACUCGGUGCGGUAUCAGCUCGAUCCAGAGAGAAGUAGCUGGAAGGAUCUUGAGUGUAGCCUUGCCCCAUCCUCUUCUACCUUGUCUUUGUUGUGCUGGUAAGCUUGAUUUGAUGUGCUGAAUUAGAAAGUAGAUUGUUCACCGUGCCUUUGAUCCUUCUACUCAGUGUGGUAAUGACUCGAUCAAGAGAAAGAUGGUCAGGAGGCACUCGCUAAUGCAGUCGUGCCUCGUUCUGUUCCCCCUGUUUGCAUCUCAAUCUUAAAGAACUUUCUCCCUGACUACAAGGACCGGCACAAGAAAAGGAGGGAUUUCAGUGUUUCCAUGGCCUUGUUUCAUACUCUUUCACUUUGCCUUGGCAGUAUCUUUAAAUUCGUCUAUUAUAUUCUCCUGUUCUAUUUAUUCAGCGCCAAGAAGAUACCACCAGGUUAAAACUAUGGACUCAGAGGGCCUUUCUUCAGGUGGGGAAUUGCGCAAGACGGGUCUAAUCUGCCUUCUCCAGAUGCCACAUUAUCCCCUGAUGUUGCUCCAAAUGGGUUAGCUCGUCAUUCGUGUUAGGGAACACAUGGCAUGGGUGAUAAAAUUGGUCAGGCGUCACACUUCUCGGAAACAUCUUAUGGUUGUGGCUUCCAAAUUGUCUGGGAUAAUUUGAUGUUGAACAGCUGAUAGCAUAGUAAUUCUGUUGUCAGAGCAGAGGUCGGGGUUCAUUAGUGUUCAACUGUCUACAAUAUAUUGUUCUCAACGUAGCGCAUAGGUAUUGAAGGUUUGACUUCAAGCCAUGAUUGUUGAUAUUUAUGUCGUAAGGAAAACAAAGGAUUUGAUUGUCCAGUGUAGUUUUCUAUUCAGAGGCAGCGAUAAUCCAUUAUCUAACAGCCAUUUUUGUGCUAAUGAAGAUUACUAUAUUUGAAGGAUGCUGAUCUUGCAUUGUUGAAGAAAGUGACCUCUGAGAAUCUGGCAGCACUAGUAGAUUCACCCUGGAGCCGAGAACAAACUUAAUCAACAGAGUAAAAUGCUAAAUGCUAUGUCAGCCAUUUAUGUAAGACGGAUAAAAUAGAGUCUAAUAUGGUUACUCUUCUUCUUUAAUAGUCUUAUGGCGUCAAUAGAGGUGCUUUUCUUUUGGGAACAUGCAUAACAGAUUCAUUUGGUUUAAUGGACUGCAUAUUGAUUACAUUAUGUGAGGUAUGCUUGUUGAAAGAAGAAAGUAACUGAUAGUGUUUCCAGCGCUGCUGUGGCUCCUAAAAGCAUAUAAUCUUUGAUCUGUAGACUUUCUUCAAUUAUCUUAUAGAGGCCUAAAGCAGUGUUUUGAUAUGUGGGACACAGGGGAUGUGCCGGAAAGACUGAAUUUGAUGGCCCUUAGUUGCUCAAUAUGCUGAAGGUGUUGACAAAAUUUACAGCGGUUGCUGGAGAAUUAAUCUCACUUGGCUCAAUAGACUAUGAGACUCAAAAUAUAGUUAGGUUACAAAAGUUCUGCAGUUUUCCUUGCAGUAUUUAAAUAUUUUUCUGGAGGUCAUCCAUAAUUUUUCAUUUUUUUUUUUUCACAUCAGCUCCAAUAUGUUUUAUGUCUUGAUUAAUGCUUAAGCUUAUAAAUUCCAGCCGGCACCCGAAUCUUGUUUUCAAUACAUUCAGUAUUACCUACUCAUGGAAUCGAUCUAUCUUUUCUUUUGCAUAUCCGUUGAUGAUUUUGUCCUCAUUUGGUGUUUCUAGGAUAUGAUUAUUCUUUUCUGAAUGUCGAUAGUUGCUGGAAGAUAAGCUUCAUCCUUUUGCUGCUUUGUACAUAUAUUUUGCCAGAGAAGGUGCUCAUGGACUAUAUUCUUCUUAGUGUUUAGUGUCCAGAAUUCUUAACUAGUAUGGAUGAACGAUAGAAUAUUCUAUUUGAAUCUAGAAUUCAGCAGUGUUGCAUUUUCUGUGUGACAAGACAAUGUAUAAUAAUGGGGCUGUCUUGCACUUUAGUAUUGGACUUUAGCUAAUAGUGCUGCUGGUAUACUCCCAUAAAUGGGCCAUCAAUAUAAUCAUCCUAAAGAAGAAAAAACAAGCACUCCCCAAAUAUACAAACUCUAUCUAUCUCUCAACUUAUAUGAAGGGGCCAGGAACUCACACCGACCACACAAUUGAAUGUAAGAUGGAAUACUGAGGUUAAUCUGAACAUGAAUCAAGACCAGAUUGAGUCCUACUUUUUGAUGGCUUUCCUAUUUGUAAGCAGUCAACUGGCGGAACUGUAGGAGUGCUCAACAACCCAAAAGUCUGCCAGCAGAAGGGAUUAUAGAGGUGGUACUGUUCUUGCACUGGUUUCAAUUGUAUAGCUGUGAGAGUCACAUCAACGCAUGGUAGGCUAUCGCUGCAGGCAAAGUGCACUGGUCUCACUGUGCCUACAUAUCAUGUCUGCUAGCAUGUCGGUGUUUUGUCAUGAGUUUUUUCCAGCUUAAGGAAUAUUCAGGCCUUGGUACAACGUGGUGCUCCGUGGAUCUUCCAUUCAACAGAAGCAGAUAAUGUGAAAGUGGCUGGAAGCAGUUGCGCUAGUUGCUAAUAAAGACAAAAGAGAGCAUUGAGAAAUUGGUGGCCGCCAUGUGUCGGCCGACUGGUGGCUUGAUUUUGUCGAUUCCACCAGCAGCUAUAUAAGGUUUUGGAGGAGGAUAAGCUUGUGCUCUCUUACCAAGUAAGUUCUCUGCUAGCGUAUGCGGUGACAAGCUGUGGCUUCAAUUUUUUAAACUGCAUGUUUUUUUGUUUUUGUCUGUCAUGUCUGGGCUGAGCUGGAGCCCACAUCUAGGUUCAUAAGAUUUCUAGGAAACACCUAAUUCUACGAUACUAACUAUUUUCUGAUAGUAGGAAUAGGAAGAGUUUAGCUAAUGGAGAGCCUUAAUGGCUUUGCUCUUGGAUGUCAUGGUUUUGGACUGUGAUUUGAUAAUUCCCUUCGUUUUGAAGUGUUAUAAAAGAUGUUCCGCUAUCAUAGUUGAAAGGGGAAGAAAAUGGAAAGGGAGAAGAAGUGUAACGUACCACAAGCAAGAUCGGUGCUAUGAAUGAGCACAUCUUUGGAGUUUUGGAGGUGAAUGCCGUCUGUGUUGGGGCUGUUGCCUGGAGAUGAGACGCUCAUGUCAUGAACCAGAACUCCCAUGCAAUUGUCAAAUUUGAGGUGGAACUGGGGGCUGUUUCGAAUUGUAAUGCCCGUGACCGUCACAUUGAAACUCCCAUAAAACCUCAGAGCCUGUGCAAAAAACAUAAUUAACGAUUGUAAUGAAAAGGAGUGCUGGGACUUGGGAAGUUAAGCAGUUGUGAACUGGGCCUUACAGUGGGCUUGAUGCUUGGCAUUUUUGCACCGAGCUCAUUUCUCACCUGUCACAAUAUAUAUCAGAAGCCUAGUCAGUUUUGGCAACUGAUUACUGGAACAGUGAACACAAAUUCUUAGGAUGAAAUCACGCCUACUACUUGAAUGAUGGUAAACUCCUCUCAUACAUAAAGUGAAGUAUAAGAAAGUUACCGGCAUCGGUGGACUUCUUUCCACGGUGCUGUUUAACGGAAUCAGGAGUUGUGUUUCAUCGUCAAUGGGUUCAUCAAAUGGGUAGUCCUCCCACCAAACCGAGCCUCGACCAUCAAUGGUCCCUUGCCCUUGGAUUGUGAUCCCUCUUAGCUUAGUGAACUCGAGCCAUUGUAGCAGACCUUUUCCCCAUGCUUUGUUCUCUGUCGGAGCAACUAGGGUUCCAUCCAGCUGAAAAUUAAUUCAAACUCAUUUAGCCUCCCAGAAACGGUGUUUUCUCGAGCACACUCUGUCUUGUAGAAAUUUUCUUUUUACCUGGACUAAGAUGUUUGCCUGGCAAUAUGGACCCGAAAACGAGAUGGGUCCCACGAAGAAUACGUAUUUAGCCGGGAUGAUCAUCAUCGACGCCUCCACUUUGCAUGCGGCGGCCCAUGCAUCUUCAAAUGCCUGCGGUUCAUUUUAGCAGAAAUAGCAGAAACACUUUUCUUAGGAUUCAGCCAAAACGAAAAGGAAAAUAGAGACUCGCUUCCUUUCUAAUUGUGAAAUAAAACACUUUUCUUAGGACCAAACGCUAUAACUCCGGUCGUCGUUGUACAGUUGGUGUUAGUUUGUAGGGACGAUAAUUGUUGGGAUCAUGUGGUCCCAGCAAUCACACAAAGAAUCCUUUUAGGGUGGGCCCCAUAGCCCACCCCACCCCACCCCGGUAGUUCAGUUGUCCUUUCUCAGUGCACUUUAUUGUUUGUUACAUGGUAGGUAAUCUUUUUAUAUUCUCGAAAUUAAGUUGCAAAAUUCGAUGUGUCUGUAGGACAAGAGGGUCACCUGCUUCUAGUUUUAGAAUCUUUUUGCCAAUUCCUUCCUAAUGAUUUUGAACAUGUUAGUAAUAGAGAAAAUUAAGGUGACCAAGAACUUAAGCUUCAACCCAUUUACUGUGCGACUAGUGUUAGAUGUACUAAAAAAACUUGACGUAGUAAUCCAGAGUCAUGGAAAUGUGUGAUUCAAAUUGAAAGUUGGGACACGAGAAGGAUUGAUUGGCACUUUCUGUGAAAUCUUUAAUUGGUUCUUUGUAUGUAGCAUUUCACUUUAUGCUCUCAACCUGGUGCGAGUGACUGGCUGAGCUCCUACAAUGCUUUUCCAGCAUGUGACGUUGUUCAUGGCCCAAUUCUAGACUACAGCGAUUCCAUUGUUGUGCAUGUUCGAUAAUGCAUUUAAUCUUAAAACGAUGCCUUGACUCUAACUAGCCUAAACUAAAAAAGCAGAAGAAAAUAGUGAGCUACUGAAUUUUGCUCUUGUGCCUUUGAAAAUGCUAGUUAUAUCGAAUCACCAGUGAAAGUUUUUUCUUUUUUCUAUUUUUGCUGGUCGAAGCACUCUGUUAAAAGACUACUUUCUUGGGGUAAAAGUUGUAUACGACUCAAUAUAGCAUUCCACAUUUUAAAUAUGAAAUUACCCCUAGAAAGAAAGGAUGAUUGUCGAUGCCACAUUGCAUAUGUGAAAAGUUUCUUCUUUAAUCUUCCGAGAAGUGAAAAUGCAAUGUUUGCUUGUUAAACUACAUUGACUGGUUUAAUUGGCAUCAACAUGCAUUAAAAGACUUUCAUGGUAUUUACUCUGCGUACUAUACCAACAAAAAGUAAUGCGAGAGCGAAGAGUUGGGCUUCUGGUUUGACCUUUGUGUCAUCAGUACUUCCAUCACCCUUGGCCCCGAAGUCAAGCACAUUAAAGGUGGCAGAGCGGCCACCACUGGAACCUUUCUGCGGCGGCGAAGGUGGCGUUUCUUCUACUGGUUUGGGACUUGGAGGCAACGAUGGGCUUUUGUGAGAGGGUGCUGUUGGAGAUUUUGAUCCUCCAUGGUGGUUGUGAUGGCUACUUCCAUGGCUUUUCGUCUUCUUCUUUAGCAGAGAUGCCGAGGCUGCUCUGCUGUGCCUCCAAUGCUUCCCUCUUCUAGCAUUGCACAUUUCAAGACUUGAAGACCAAGCAAGAAGUGCUAUGAAAAGCAUAAAUGUGAUGCUUCUGAACCUCAAUCCCUCCAUGUUUUAGUGUUGUGGAGGGAUGGGAAAAAGGGAGGGGGAGGGAGAGGGAGAAAAGAGAGAGAGGGAUUAGAUAUCCGAUAUAAGUGGUGGAGGGUGUGUGUGUGUGUAUAUAUAUAGAUAUUGAAGUGAAGAGUUGAUGAGACUACGCGGAUAAAAGCAAAGAAUUCUUCCAAUAAUUUUAGAUCUUCUGGUGGGGAUCUAUCUACUACUAGCAAACCAGACUGUAAUUGAUCAUGGGAUGCAUUGACGGCUAGCCAAUAAUAACUUCUGUGAGUACCUUAUUCCUUUUCUUUCUCAUGUGAGUCAUUCAAUAUGUGAUUGUGCAUGCAUACAUUACCAGUGAAUUCAUUGAUGAUGCCUGCUGAUUCAGCAGAUAGAAUAUUUCGUUCUCUAAGGACCGAGGCAUAUUUAUUGGAAUUCUGCCUGUACCAUAUGAAGAGAUGCAUCAUCACGCAUAUCAUCUACAGAGCUUUCAUUCCAUAAUAGCUUUGUUUAAUACGUCGUUCGAGUUAUGUUGGGUCUUCAAUUUCCCAAUCAAUUUGGGGAGGAGCAGAACAGAGAAGACUCUGGGAUCUGCUCGCCUCCUUUCCCAUUCGCAUGGCCUCAAAAUUUUCCAGGAAUUAAAUAAUGGGGGAUAGAUUUCCAUGUAAAAAGGAGCCAAAAGAGGGACACGUGAGUGGGUCUAUGAGUUGGGAAGGAGGGGAGGAGGUGGCACUGAUUAUAACAGCUCUUUUAUGGUCACAUGCAUCGCUCACGGGCAAGAGUGUUCCCGCACCUUGUCUUAACCCUACAAUCAUGGCUGAAAACAGGUAACUGUUUUUAUUUCCUCCCUCCAUAUCCUCCUUUCAAGCACACACUUUCGAAACCCCCGCAUUGACCACGAAUCAUGGGUAGCCACGUAUUCAGAGAGAGAGAGAGGGAGAGUAUUUGACUGACCUGAGCUAUGUCUCAGGCCUCUCUCUCUCAGCUGAGCCAGAGCCUACUUUUUCGUGACCUUGGAAUUUCCGAGGAUGGACCAAAGAGACAGAGAGGCGCAGACGCUGGAUUUCGAGCAGAAAUGGUCAAGAGACAUUGCAAAUGCAUGCAUGCCCAUGGUUUUGCCAUACCGGUUAGAAAUUGUACGAACCCAAAAACGCGAAAAUGAAAAAGAAAAGAAAAAGGGUAGGAAAAUGCGAGAGUCCUGGGGUCCAACUAACAGUAACAAAGACAGGAAAUGACAGGGAAUUGCAUUUCUCAAGGUCAUGUUAAAUCCCAGUUCAGAGCCAUUUGUAUCAGAACCAAACAAAUUUAGUGUUCAGAGAGAAAACGAUGAAAGAACAAUCGAGGCCUGCGUAAUAUUAAAAGGGGGCGAAUACGAGUACGGAAAUAGCAUCUAGGAAGAUGCAACAGCCGAUAAAUCGCUGUAUGAUUCGUCCAUUGCCGCUUUGUGCUUUCCCGUUCAUUGGAGUGCAGAUAUUAGGACUUAAAAGCUUCUUCUUCUUCUUCUUCUUCUUCUUCUUCUUUAGGGGGGCGGAAUACCUGUCUGGAGCGUAUGUCGUUAUCAGCACCGAGUGAUACCAAACUGACUUAUCGUUGUGAACGUGAAUUGGUAGUAGAAUUUGUGGUCUAUGAUUUGCAUACUUUUUUUCCAUUAUCACCCAUCUGGUUUUGUUGUCUUGUGGUCCUAGGACUCCUUUUUCUGGAUCAUGGCAUCCGAAUGAUUUACUGAAUUCCUUUAUUGUUCUUCAAUUUUAAGAGGGAAGGAAUAUAACUCGUCACGUAUGUCUGACUUCUAUUGUGAAUUAAAUCAUUUGAUGAAUAUGGCCGAAAGAAAUUACACACAACGGCGGUAAAACUUUGUAGAAGGAUUAUAUGUCGUCCGAGUUUCUACAUCUUUCUCUCUUUUUCUUUGGUAAAUAGUGCUAGAAAAUACAUGGAAGAGCGUACUAUGAGUCAACUGACUUGCAUUGCUGUUGCUGCACGCCCUCUUCAGAGUCCAAGAAGGUGACAAAAACGUCUGAGAAUUUAUGUAGUUUCUGUUAGUUUC